rnacentral:rRNA from 1 species
AUUUUCCGGUUGAUCCUGCCGGACCCGACUGCUAUCAGAGUGGGGCUAAGCCAUGCGAGUCAACGCCGCAAGGCGUGGCAUACGGCUCAGUAACACGUAGUCAACAUGCCCAGGGGACGUGGAUAACCUCGGGAAACUGAGGAUAAACUGCGAUAGGCCAAGGUUUCUGGAAUGGACAAUGGCUGAAACCUAUAUGGCCCCUGGAUUGGACUGCGGCCGAUCAGGCUGUUGGUGGGGUAAUGGCCCACCAAACCAAUAACCGGUACGGGCUUUGAGAGAAGGAGCCCGGAGAUGGGCACUGAGACAAGGGCCCAGGCCCUAUGGGGCGCAGCAGGCGCGAAACCUCUGCAAUAGGCGAAAGCUUGACAGGGUUACUCUGAGUGAUGCCCGCUAAGGGCAUCUUUUGGCACCUCUAAAAAUGGUGCAGAAUAAGGGGUGGGCAAGUCUGGUGUCAGCCGCCGCGGUAAUACCAGCACCCCGAGUGGUCGGGACGAUUAUUGGGCCUAAAGCAUCCGUAGCUUGUUCUGCAAGUCCUCCGUUAAAUCCACCUGCUCAACAGAUGGGCUGCGGAGGAUACUACAGGGCUAGGAGGCGGGAGAGGCAAACGGUACUCAGUGGGUAGGGGUAAAAUCCACUGAUCCACUGAAGACCACCAGUGGCGAAGGCGGUUUGCCAGAACGCGCUCGACGGUGAGGGAUGAAAGCUGGGGGAGCAAACCGGAUUAGAUACCCGGGUAGUCCCAGCUGUAAACGAUGCAGACUCGGUGAUGGGUUGGCUUCGGGCCAACCCAGUGCCGCAGGGAAGCCGUUAAGUCUGCCGCCUGGGGAGUACGGUCGCAAGACUGAAACUUAAAGGAAUUGGCGGGGGAGCACCACAAGGGGUGAAGCCUGCGGUUCAAUUGGAGUCAACGCCGGAAAU